CAUAGGUUAAUGAGGCGAACCGGGGGAACUGAAACAUCUAAGUACCCCGAGGAAAAGAAAUCAACCGAGAUUCCCCCAGUAGCGGCGAGCGAACGGGGAGCAGCCCAGAGCCUGAAUCAGUGUGUGUGUUAGUGGAAGCGUCUGGAAAGGCGCGCGAUACAGGGUGACAGCCCCGUACACAAAAAUGCACAUGCUGUGAGCUCGAUGAGUAGGGCGGGACACGUGGUAUCCUGUCUGAAUAUGGGGGGACCAUCCUCCAAGGCUAAAUACUCCUGACUGACCGAUAGUGAACCAGUACCGUGAGGGAAAGGCGAAAAGAACCCCGGCGAGGGGAGUGAAAAAGAACCUGAAACCGUGUACGUACAAGCAGUGGGAGCACGCUUAGGCGUGUGACUGCGUACCUUUUGUAUAAUGGGUCAGCGACUUAUAUUCUGUAGCAAGGUUAACCGAAUAGGGGAGCCGAAGGGAAACCGAGUCUUAACUGGGCGUUAAGUUGCAGGGUAUAGACCCGAAACCCGGUGAUCUAGCCAUGGGCAGGUUGAAGGUUGGGUAACACUAACUGGAGGACCGAACCGACUAAUGUUGAA
rnacentral:rRNA from 1 species